CCUGUUGACGGUUGUGCUUUUGUCUUGUAUUAGUAUAUAAAUUAUAAAUAAAUAAAAAUUAUUUUGAUAUUUUUUAUCAUAAAUUAUUUCAUCUUCUAAUGAACUCCUGUGUUGUGGUGAAGUCCUUAGGACUAUUUAGACUCGAUAAAGGAGGAUUUAUCGUUUAGUCCUUAAACCUGUUCGCGACCAAAUGAUACGUUGUUACCAAGGACGACAAUGUUUAUCAAGC
rnacentral:lncRNA from 1 species